rnacentral:rRNA from 1 species
UGGCGGCAUGCCUAAGACAUGCAAGUCGAACGAGAUGGCCUUUGAAAACUGCGUACUGUACAAAGUUGGAUAGAGAUUUUCCAUCUAGUGGCAGACGGGUGAGUAAUACAUAAGUAAUCUACCUUAGAGACUGGGAUAACGUUUGGAAACGGACGCUAAUACCGGAUGAUUCUUCUUACACAAGUAAGAAUGCUAAAAGGAGCUUCGGCUUCACUUUAAGAUGAGCUUAUGGCGUAUUAACUAGUUGGUAGGGUAAUGGCCUACCAAGGUGACGAUGCGUAGCCGAACUGAGAGGUUGAUCGGCCACAUUGGGACUGAGACACGGCCCAAACUCCUACGGGAGGCAGCAGUUAGGAAUAUUCGUCAAUGGGGGAAACCCUGAACGAGCAAUGCCGCGUGAGUGAUGACGGUCUUUAUGAUUGUAAAACUCUGUUGUAAGGAAAGAAACCUUAUCAUAGGAAAUGAUGAUAAGCUGACGGUACCUUACCAGAAAGCCCCGGCUAACUACGUG